rnacentral:lncRNA from 1 species
CUUUGCUCUAACAGACAGCAGCGACUUUAGGCUGGAUAAUAGUCAAAUUCUUACCUCGCUCUUUCACUGCUAGUAAGAUCAGAUUGCGUUUCUUUCAGUUACUCUUCAAUCGCCAGUUUCUUGAUCUGCUUCUAAAAGAAGAAGUAGAGAAGAUAAAUCCUGUCUUCAAUACCUGGAAGGAAAAACAAAAUAACCUCAACUCCGUUUUGAAAAAAACAUUCCAAGAACUUUCAUCAGAGAUUUUACUUAGAUGAUUUACACAAUGAAGAAAGUACAUGCACUUUGGGCUUCUGUAUGCCUGCUGCUUAAUCUUGCCCCUGCCCCUCUUAAUGCUGAUUCUGAGGAAGAUGAAGAACACACAAUUAUCACAGAUACGGAGUUGCCACCACUGAAACUUAUGCAUUCAUUUUGUGCAUUCAAGGCGGAUGAUGGCCCAUGUAAAGCAAUCAUGAAAAGAUUUUUCUUCAAUAUUUUCACUCGACAGUGCGAAGAAUUUAUAUAUGGGGGAUGUGAAGGAAAUCAGAAUCGAUUUGAAAGUCUGGAAGAGUGCAAAAAAAUGUGUACAAGAGAUAAUGCAAACAGGAUUAUAAAGACAACAUUGCAACAAGAAAAGCCAGAUUUCUGCUUUUUGGAAGAAGAUCCUGGAAUAUGUCGAGGUUAUAUUACCAGCGAAUGGUUUCCAGGUGGAUAAUUAUGGAACCCAGCUCAAUGCUGUGAAUAACUCCCUGACUCCGCAAUCAACCAAGGUUCCCAGCCUUUUUGUUACAAAAGAAGGAACAAAUGAUGGUUGGAAGAAUGCGGCUCAUAUUUACCAAGUCUUUCUGAACGCCUUCUGCAUUCAUGCAUCCAUGUUCUUUCUAGGAUUGGAUAGCAUUUCAUGCCUAUGUUAAUAUUUGUGCUUUUGGCAUUUCCUUAAUAUUUAUAUGUAUACGUGAUGCCUUUGAUAGCAUACUGCUAAUAAAGUUU